UAGGCUAGAAGCCAGUCGAUCUAUUCCUGAGCUAGAUGAAGGGGGGCGAAAGCCCCCUGGAGGUCUUAAGACGUUCUGACGUGCAAAUCGUUGUUGUGACUUGGGAAUAGGGGUCAAAAACCAAUCUAGACUGGCGCUCGCUAGUUCCAACCGAAGCGUCUCGCAGGGCGUGGUUUGUGGAGAUAGCGUUUCCGGUAGAGCACUGAUAGAAGGGCGCGGGGGAGAAAUCCCUCACCCUCCAUUCAAACUCCGAACGGAUACGCAUCGUAGAAGCAGGCACACGGGCUCAUGUGGCGUAAGGCUCAUGGCCGAAAGGGGUUUAACCCAGACUGAAGUUAAGGUCCCCAAAUUUUUGCUAAGUGUCAAGCGAAAGAGCGUGUUCUCGCCAAGACAGCAGGGAGGUAAGCUCAGAAGCAGCUAUCCUUUAAAAAAUGUGUAACAACUUACCUGCCGAGGGGGGAUGCCUCAAAAACGGACGGGGCUAAAGCAAAAUACCGAUACUUUAGAUAAUUAUCAUUAGAUAAUUCGUGGUAGGUUGGCGUAGUGAUUGGGUCGAAGCAGGGCGAUGACGUCCUGUGGACCGAUUUCUAUUGCAGAUCUUGGCGGCAGUAACAGCAUAGUAUUGUGAGAAACAAUACCACCGCAAGCGCAAGGGUUUCCAGGCAAUGCGUUAUCAGCCUGGAGGUAGUCGAUCCUAAGAUGUGCCUCAACAGAGUACAUCGAAUGGGAAAUCAGUUAAUAUUCUGAUACCUUGUAACAAUCGUUUGAGCUAUAUGAUUCGCUUCCGGAUAAGGAGUGUACAACUAUCGUUGUAUCCAAGCAUUCGAGGAUUGGGGAGUGUCGUAAUGACGAGAACCUUUCCGAGGUGUUAGUGGCUUCGCGUUAGCGAAGUUUUCUUGAUUCCAGGAGACCAUGAAAGAUUGUGUAGUUAGAAAGUAACAAGUUCGUACCCAGAACCGACACAGGUGCGCUGGCUUAGAAAGCUAAGGUGCUACGGGUAUACCGUAUGGCGAGGGAAUUCGGCAAAUUAGUCCUGUAGCUUAGGUAUAAGGGAUGCCUGCGGGCUUCAUGAGGAAUGGGGUCCGCAGGUUGCAAUAACAAGGGGGUUCCGACUGUUUAAUAAAAACACAGGCGACUGCUAGUCCGAAAGGAUUUGUAUAGUCGCUGAAUCCUGGCCGGUGCCGGUACCUAAAACUUGGGUUCAACCGAGCUAAGGGCCGGUUAACGCCGGGAGUAACUCUGACUCUCUUAAGGUAGCCAAAUGCCUUGUCGGGUAAGUUCCGACGCGCAUGAAUGGAACAACGAGAGCCCCACUGUCCCCGCCUACAACCCGGUGAAGCCACAUAAGGUGGACGAACAGUCCAUCAACUUCCAUCGGGGAGAGAAGACCCCGUGGAGUUUUACUGCAGCUUGUGCUUGUGGUAUAGUAAGAAUUGCACAGUGUAUCUGGGAGCUAUGCUUAACAUUCCCCGGGAUGUUAAUGAAGCAACGAUGUAACACCAGACUCUUUUUGCAGUACCACUUAUCCAGUGAAGACCGGAGACACGUGCAGGUAGGCAGUUCGGCUGGGGCGGCACCCCUUUGAAAAGAUAUCAAAGGGGCCCAAAGUUGAGUUCAAACGGGGCAGAAAUCCGUUGAAGAGGGCAAAGCCAAAAACUCGACUGAAUGGAUUUCCAAACGCACGGAAUUCAUAGACGAAAGUCUGGCUUAGCGAUCCUUCGUGUGCCCACUAUUGGGGCCCGGAGGUGACAGAAAAAUUACCCCAGGGAUAACAGGCUCGUCGCGGGCGAGAGCUCCUAUCGACCCCGCGGUUUGGUACCUCGAUGUCGGCUUUUCCUAUCCUGGUCCUGCAGCAGGGGCCAAGGGUGAGGCUGCUCGCCUAUUAAAAGGGAACAUGAGCUGGGUUUAGACCGUCGUGAGACAGGUCGGUCUCUGCCUGAUGGAAGCGUGAAUAACUGAGGGGAACUUGCUCCUAGUACGAGAGGAACAGAGCAGGGUGGCCACUGGUUUACCGGUUGUCUGAUAAGGCAGGCCGGGCAGCUAAGCCGUUUAGGCUAAGUGCUGAAAGCAUCUAAGCACGAAUCCUAUCCCGAGACAAGUUAUUCU
rnacentral:rRNA from 1 species